AACCUCGUAGUAUAGUACGUAGUACGUCGACUACUAUAUUAAAGGCGUAGGUUCGAUUCCUACUAAGGUUU
rfam:Podospora anserina genomic DNA, chromosome 4.